rnacentral:rRNA from 1 species
GACGAACGCUGGCGGCGUGCUUAACACAUGCAAGUCGAGCGGUAAGGCCCUUUCGGGGGUACACGAGCGGCGAACGGGUGAGUAACACGUGGGUGACCUGCCCUCAGCUCUGGGAUAAGCCUGGGAAACCGGGUCUAAUACCGGAUAUGACUCCAUGACGCAUGUUGUGGGGUGGAAAGCCUUGUGCGGCUGAGGAUGGGCCCGCGGCCUAUCAGCUUGUUGGUGGGGNGAUGGCCUACCAAGGCGACGACGGGUAGCCGGCCUGAGAGGGCGACCGGCCACACUGGGACUGAGACACGGCCCAGACUCCUACGGGAGGCAGCAGUGGGGAAUCUUGCGCAAUGGCCUAACGGCUGACGCAGCGACGCCGCGUGUGGGAUGAAGCUCUUCGGAGUGUAAACCACUGUUGCCCGGGACGAAUA